UACGGAAGGUGCAAGCAUUAAUCGGAUUUAUUGGGCGUAAAGGGCGCGUAGGCGGGUCAGCAAGUUAGAUGUGAAAUUUCGGGGCUUAACCCCGAAGCUGCAUUUAAAACUACUGAUCUUGAGGGUAGGCGGAGAAAAUGGAAUUCCACGUGUAGCGGUGAAAUGCGUAGAUACGUGGAGGAACACCGGUGGCGAAAGCGGUUUUCUAGCUUAUACCUGACGCUGAGGCGCGAGAGCAAGGGGAGCAAACAGG
rnacentral:rRNA from 1 species